UAGAUUUUUUCAUGCUCAGGAUGACGCUGGCGGCGUGCUUUAAUACAUGCAAGUGAGCGAGCAGAUGAGGAGCUUGCUCCUCUGACGCUUAGCGGCGGACGGGUGAGUAACACGUGGAUCAACCUACCUAUAAGACUGGGAUAACUUCGCGAAACCGGAGCUAAUACCGGAUAAUAUAUGGAUCUCGCAUGGUUCAAUAGUGAAAGACGGUUUUGCUGUCACUUAUAGAUGGAUCCGCGCCGCAUUAGCUAGUUGGUAAGGUAACGGCUUCCAAGGCAACGAUGCGUAGCCGACCUGAGAGGGUGAUCGGCCACACUGGAACUGAGACACGGUCCAGACUCCUACGGGAGGCAGCAGUAGGGAAUCUUCCGCAAUGGGCGAAAGCCUGACGGAGCAACGCCGCGUGAGUGAUGAAGGUUUUUGGAUUGUAAAACUUUGUUAUUAGGGAAGAACAAAUGUGUAAGUAACUAUGCACGUCUUGGCGGUUCCUAAUCAGAAAACCCCGGCUAACUUCGUGCCAGCAACCGCGGUAAUUCGUAGGUGGCAAGCGUUAUCCGGAAUUAUUGGGCGUAAAGCGCGCGUAGGCGGUUUUUUAAGUUUGAUGUGAAAGCCCUCGGCUCAACCGUGGAGGGUCAUUGGAAACUGGAAAACUUGAGUGCAGAAGAGGAAAGUGGAAUUCCAUGUGUAGCGGUGAAAUGCGCAGAGAUAUGGAGGAACACCAGUGGCGAAGGCGACUUUCUGGUCUGUAACUGACGCUGAUGUGCGAAAGCGUGGGGAUCAAACAGGAUUAGAUACCCUGGUAGUCCACGCCGUAAACGAUGAAUGCUAAGUGUUAGGGGGUUUCCGCCCCUUAGUGCUGCAGCUAACGCAUUAAGCACUCCGC
rnacentral:rRNA from 1 species